GUCGGGUUAGCGUAAUGGUUAACGCGCCAGUUUCCGGAGCUGGAGAUUCUGGGUUCGAGUCCCAGGCUUGACG
rnacentral:tRNA from 1 species